GAACUGAACUUUGUGGUCUGGAGGUUUCGGUGUGCUUUGCUCCGCCUGCGAAAUGUCUGGGGAGACCAAUCUCUUCAACAGGGGCACGGCCGGAGAACUAUUGCUAUAACACUGUAAGAGAAACAGCAAGGGAUUUAGCUCAGCUGCACAAGUGCCUUCCUGAGAAGCAUGAGGUUGUAAGUUCGAUCCCUCGUACCAAAAAAAAAAGGAAUGUAAGAGAGAAUUUGUAAUUUCAGAACCAAGAAAGACUGUGACUACAGGACUACAAGGCAUUGUGGGGUUACCUGGCCACGUUUCCUGUUAUUCACAGAGUUAAAUAUUAUCUGUCACACAGGUCACACAUAACUUUGCAUGUGCUUAUGGUUUUCCUCAUAAUUAUACUAAAAGCAGCAUGUAGACAGUCACACAAUUAACAUGGCCUUAGAGAAGUGACUGAUCCAAUCUUUGAAUUCUUCAUGAUUUGAGCACAGUGCUGCACAGCAAAAUCAUGGUGUUCAAGAACAACAGGAACACUUGAAAGGUAAUAAUAUGGUAGGCACAGUCUAUGGUUUACAUAUAUGUUCCCACUUCAUUUUUAUUAUGGCCCUUUACAUAGGAACAAUUAUUUCCUUCAUUAUUAAGAGAGGAAUUCUUGUGUAAUGGUUGGGAACAUGGGCUCCGAAAUCACACUGUCUGACUUCGUGGUAGGGCUUUGCUCCUUCCUCGCUGUAAGACUUGUGAUGAGUUAUUUUAUUUUCCUGCGUGUUGGUUUCCUCUGCUGUAGUCUGGGUAAUAGUAAUACUUACACUGAGGAGUCAAUGAAUUAAAUACAUGGAAAGUGCUUGCUGCAGGGCCUGCAACAUAGUAAACCCCAUAUGACUGAAACCAUUACUUUUCGAAAUGAGUAAUUUAUAGCUCAGAGAGCCAGAAUCUUGUGCCAUGUCACACGAGGUGAUAGGUCUAGUCAGUUCUCUUAAUUGCUGGUUUGUACUAAUCCAAGUUAUCACACACACACACACACACACACACACACACACACACAAAGUACUUGACUUGGAAUCAGGUCUCAGGCACUUGGCUCAGGCCUGACUCUGAAACUACCUUGUGGUAUCAUUUUGAAUGAGCCACAGUAUUCCAGAGAGAACCCUCUCCCCACUUCCCAGGAGGCAGUACCUUUAUUUACAGAGAGGAGCUGGACUAAAUGACCCCCAACUUCCCACCCAUUUCUAUCUUCUGUGGUUCCAGGAAGAGCUUCCAGAUUCUGUGUAUUGUACGGGCAGUGAAUGACCAUGCAAUCACAUUAUCUCCAUCUUUGAAAAAUACAAUCAGAUUGCCUCAGACUGUUGCUCAGUAUUAGCAACUUCAAUUCCUACCCAAAGCUAACCCCAUACUCCUUCCUAUGACCUGCUCUGCUUCACCUGGCUCUUGUUCAGCUCUUCAGUGUUAUUCUGUAUUAUCCUUCCUCUCGUAUUCCCCCUUUAUUGCUCUAACACUGAGGUGUCCAACACCAAGCUAACUACAGAGAGCCUGAAAACAUGGGUAGUCCUAUUUGGGAUCCUGUAUCAUAUGCACACAGAAUCUCACAGCCUUGGUUAAAAAAAAAUGUAAAUGUCUCUUAAAAAAAUUUUUUAAGGGCUGGGUUGUAACUCCAUGGAGAGCACCUUCCUACCUUCCUAGCAUGUGUGGUGCCCCGUGUUUAAUCCCCAGCAGCAAACACACAGACACACACACCCAUGUACACGCACACAGAAACUGCUUAUGUGUCGAAAUUAUAUUGGUUAUGUUAGGUUAAAUAUAUUACCAAUUUCCUUUCAAAAAUGCUCCCAUGGAAAAGUUUCUAUCACAUACGUGGCCUGUCUUACUGUGCAGUUAGAUCCCACAGCUCAGUACCUGGGGCUGGCAAAUGGAGCACACUGUGGGGUCCAGCCUGCUGCCUGUUUUCACAGCCUGUGAGCAAACAAUGGUUUUCACACUGAAAGUUAUUUUUUAAAUAUCAAAAGGAUAACUGUGAUACGUGGUAAAGAAAUUCAAAUUUUAUUGUACAUAAAUAGAAUUUUAUUGGAAGAGAGAGCUUAUAACAAUUGCUUCUCCCAUUAGAGAAGCUCUGCAAAGGCACAAACUUUUUUGUCACUGCUGUUCAGCAAAUUAUUACUAACACCUAGGACAGUACUGGGCACAUACUAGGUACUCUGUAAAUAUUUAUAGUCUUUAAAUUUUUUAUAGCUAGAUACUGGGGUAGUAUAGGAAUCACCUUGUUAUUUAAAGGACAUGAAUUACCACUAAUAAAAAUUACUGUGUGCUUUUCUGAGCCAGAAAGGCUAAGAUUAGUUCAGGCUCAGAGCAAGCUCCUACCUUGAGACACAGGAAUGGCAAUGCAGUUCCUGCUAAACUUGGAGACACAGGUGCUGCAGCAUGACAAGAGGGACAUAAGAUUUAUAAACAAAAUACCUCACUUUAUUUUAAUAAAUUCAGUGAUUUUGGUCCCUCUUAGAAAGGCGAGGUAAAACUGUCCCAGUUAUCAAAAAAUUCAAAUCUCCUUUUCGUUGGUGGACUGGCUGACAAAUUAUUUUCAUCUAAGGUGUCUCCCAGAUCACAGGCUCCACCUCCUGAGGUUCCGGAAGCACUUCCUGGGUCAAAGGACUCCAAGGCCUCUAGAAGCUCCAUGUCAGUUCCAUCUUCCUCAAAGGACUUCUGGAGCAGGUCAUAGAUUGUCUGCUGCUUUGGGUCCUUCAUCAGAGAAAGAAAAUAAAAGACAAGGGUGAACCCAAACUCCAGUGCGGCACCUCCUCCACGGUGGCUGGUGAGAGAGUUCUAAGGUGAGAGACAGCACAUUUUAAGCUGUCAGGGAGCGAUAUGAUGACAGGGACAGACCGUCUCAGUAACUACUACUAAAACAGCUUCCUGCUGUAGCUUUAGUGUGCGAAAUCUUGUCUGCUGGGUUAGAAAUGAAAACAAAGGCUGAGGAUAUAAUAGUGGCAACCUGGCACUACCUGGCAAACAUGAGGUCCUAAGUUUGAUUCCCAGUACAAGAAAGGAAAGGAAGGGAAGGGAAAAAGGAAAAGGGAAAGGGCGAAGGGCAAAGGGGAAGGGGCAAAAAUCAUCAUUCUGCUGAUCUCUCCUAAGUAUAAAUUCCCAAUUCUCCUAAAAAAGCUAAAGUUACCAUAUUACAGUAAUACAUGCAUACCCAGCUUUAUAGCAGCACAAAUCACUAUGGCAAAAUCACGGAGGCAGCCUACAUGUCUAUCAGCAGAUGAAUGGAUAAACAAAAUGUGGUAUAUAAACACAAUAGAGUGCCACUCAGCCACAACAAAGGAUACAUUUGACGGAUUUGUAGGAAAAUACAUGGACUUGAGACCAUAAUACCAAGUGAAGUAAGUCACAGAAGGUUAACAAUUACAUGUUUUUUUAAUGUGAGAGACAUAACAUAAAGAGCCAAAUAAAAGAGACGUAUUUAGAAAUGGAAAGAUAGACUCCAUAGAGAUAGGAAAGGGAUCUUCCUAGGACAGAAAGGGGAAAGCGGGACAGGGGUGGUUGUGUGUGUAAAAGUAAUCAAGAUGCAAUGUGCGUAUCUAUCAGUCCCCCAACCGGAAUGUAACUACUGUGUAUAUUGCAAACAUAUACUAACAAAAAGUUCUGAAAAGCACAUUCCCAACCUUGACCACUUUUAUUCCACAGGUAUGCCUGUAACACCUCCACUGACAUCCACAGCUCCAUAAAACUGAGCUACCUGAAAUCAAAAUGACCACUUCAUCCCCUACCAUCGCCCCAGACCAGUUCCUUCCUGGAAAUCUCCCACCAGCCUCACAGACUCCUAGCCUGAAAUCACAGUGUGUCGUGAAUCCUUAGCUGAUCCAAAUGUGUCCCCACUGUUCUCGUCCAUCACACAGCACACGUUAGGCAAGUGCUCUGCCACUGAGCUACAUGCCCAAACCUCCUGCCACCCUUGUCAUGGGCCGGAUCACUUGGUGCCACAGGAACUGCAGCAGCUCAGCUGCUCUCCAGCCUCAGGCUUCUCCCACUGCUGUGGGCCCCCGUCACAUCCUGCCUGAUUUUCCCUCAGGCUGCCCUUUGACACAAUUUCCCUUGUCAUGCCACAAAUGGACUCCCUGGUGUCUACUUCUAAAAUUGCUUUUCUGGCUUUGCUGGGCUUCUGCAAUUAGAUCUCAAUCUAAAUGGCCACUAUUUGUCACUGUUUCGGAACAGAAUCUCCAACAUUGGUGAAGUUCCUGGAAAACUGAUUGGAAGCAGGUCAUGCAAGAACUCCAGAUUACUCCAUUAAUCUCCACCGGCCAGCUCCUGGCCUUUCAGGAUUCCAGCCUUUUGCCAGUGAUCUUAAAGAUCAUUAAGGUCAAUCAACUACAAUCUGCAUGUCAUCUUGAACCUAAAUACUCACCAAUCUCUUUUUUUUUUUUGUACUGGAAAUCAUACUCCAGACCUUGCCCUUGCCAGGCAGGCGCUGUGCUGCUGAGCUAUAUCCCCAGUCCAUCGGCCUCUUUCUCAACAAGUGCAAAGUCAAGAAAUGCCACCUUGCAAGGCAGUCAUUCCAAGGAGAAAUGCUUUUUAAUGUGCAUUCAAUUACAACAGUGGCCAGACUAUAAGGAAGCUUGGAGCAUGCAUAAUUAAUUGGAGUAAGUUCUAUGAUCAGAUUAGUAUUUAAUUUCCCCUCUCAGAAGUAAGGCUUAGUGAGACCCAACCUUUUUGGCUUUUGUCUCCCACAAGGGGCCAACAUUUUCAUUUUCUAGCUGUUAAUGAAAAAUUUCAUCCCUAUCUUAGUAAGAAGUUAGUUAUUAAUCAAAAUAAAUAUUGAUAAAUUUCAUUUCAUUAAAUUUAUCUUGUACUUUAGGCAGAAAUUCAUAAUUCAGAGUAAGAGAGGGAAAGGCCAGAAUAACAAAAAUGAGUUUGAAUGAGAAUUCUUUAGAAAAAAGGCUUUUUUCUCAAAGGGCAUAUAAGUACCUAGGUUCUAUUAGAAUAGUCACUACUCAACUGCAUUAGAGUUCUUUCAAAGACUUUUUAAAAAAGAGUGUUUUAAACUGUCCACAGUACUGUAUGCCUGUGGUCCUAAGCACUCUGGGAGGCUGAUGCACAAGGAUAGCAAGUUUGAGCCUAGCCCGGGCAACUUAGUGAGACCCUGUCUCAAAAUAAAAACAGGAAAAGAGCUCGGGGAUGUGGCUCAGUACUAAAGCCCCUGUUUCAUUUCAGAGCUCCCUGCCCACAAAAGGUUAUUUUAAAUUUGGCUUACUAAAUUAUUGAAAAGGAUAAUUUAUAGUUGAGAUUUAAAAACUUGCUUGCUAUCAAAAAAAAGAAAACAAAACAAAAAAAAGCAAAAUUCAAGAAAUAAGUGAUCUCUGACUCUUAUUUACCCCAAUAAUUAAAAUAAGGGAAAAAAGAUUCAGUUGCUAAGUAACUGGAAAUGAAUGAUGGAACCUUCAGACUCUUGAGUCUUAGCAUCCCCUGCAGGAUGUUGCCGAUUUAACUCAUUUCUGACACUCAGCGAUUCCACAGGAGGAAAGGCCCCUGGUAGCCUAAUGAGCUGCACGGAGGACACCUUCCUGCACGAGGCUCAGACUUCCCUCACGCUCUCCAGGUAGGAACAGCUGCCCCAAAAGUCACCCUCCAGGAGGCAGAGCCUCCCAGCUUUCCUUUCCCUGUCCACCACUGAGCCGGAGAAAGCAGACAUAGCUUUGGAGGUCUCGGAGCACCUUGCUGGAUGGCGUCUCACCAAAAUGGUGAAGAGGCCGUGACAGGACGUGGGUCCGAGUGUGCAGCCAGGGCAGGCGUGGUGGCCCCAGGGCUGUUCUCUCCAGGUGUGCACAGACAGAUGUUCACUGGCCUCUUAUGCUACCUGAUAAUGCCCUUUUUAUGUUGCGAUAAUGUCUUAUUAAGUUGUUUAGCCUGGCCCUAAUGUUUGAUCCUUCUGCCUCAGCCUCCAAGGAGCCUGGAUUACAGGCAUGCACUACCACAGUGGGCUUAGAACUGCCCUAUUUUUAAUAUUUUCCAUUCUAUACCAGGGACCAGUCUGAGAUAGUACAACAAUCCAACAGUUGCUGCAAGGAGUUUGCCAUCGGUUUCUGAGGAUCUCAAGGAAGAGCAGCAUUUGGGAAGGCUGAUUUCAAGACUGUGGGACACGCAAGCAGGAGGAGUUGACCUGACUGCUCCCCAAAGAGAUGCACACCCGGGUUGAGCGAGAAUGAUCACAAGUCCACUGCGUUCCGCUCUGGGGCGGGAGGAGUUUCCCAAGGUGACUCACACUCAAGGGCUUGGCAGACAGCUUGAUGCCCCCUCUGCCCCUGUGACAAACAACCUUGCAGCAUGUUACCUUGUAACUGGCGGCUUCUGUCAUUUCUGAGAAAUUGGUCUCAGAAAGCCCAGCUUCCCCUAAAACUUUAAUCUUCUCUUGAAUGAGAGGCCUGCGGGGGAGAGAUGAGCUGCAUGAAUACAAUCUGCACAGAAACAAGAGACUGAUUAAAAGGGGGCCACUUUCCUCACUCUG